GAUCUACUCUCUCCGUUCGGAAUUACUUGUCCUAGAAAUGGAUGUAUCUAAAUGUAUUUUAGUUUAGAUACAUCCAUUUCUUUUUUUUAAAGGUAGAUACAUCCAUUUCUGAGACAAGUAAUUUUGAACGGAGGGAGUACUUC
rnacentral:pre_miRNA from 1 species